rnacentral:rRNA from 1 species
UCGGCAAUGGGGGAAACCCUGACCGAGCAACGCCGCGUGAAUGAUGACGGCCUUCGGGUUGUAAAAUUCUGUGGCGAGGAACGAAUGGCAAGGAGAGGAAAUGCUCUUUGCUUGACGGUACCUCGCUAGAAAGCCACGGCUAACUACGUGCCAGCAGCCGCGGUAAUACGUAGGUGGCAAGCGUUAUCCGGAAUUAUUGGGCGUAAAGAGUGAGCAGGCGGUUUUUUAAGUCUGAAGUCAAAUCCUGUGGCUCAACCACAGUUCGCUUUGGAAACUGAAGAACUAGAGUGCGGGAGAGGUAAGCGGAAUUCCAUAUGUAGCGGUGAAAUGCACAGAUAUAUGGAGGAACACCGGUGGCGAAGGCGGCUUACCAGCCCGAUACUGACGCUCAGUCACGAAAGCGUGGGGAGCAAAUAGGCUUAGAUACCCUAGUAGUCCACGCCGUAAACGUUGAGGACCUGAUGCCGGAGUAUUUCGGUGUCGUAGCUAACGCGUUAAGUCCUCCGCCUGGGUACUACGUUCGCAAGAAUAAAACUUAAAGGAAUUGACGGGGGCCCGCACAAGCAGUGGAGCAUGUGGUUUAAUUCGUCGCUACGCGAAAAACCUUACCAGGGUUUGACAUCCCGCUAAAAGUCUUGGAAACAAGAUCAUAGUUAUAGCGGUGAAAGGUGGUGCAUGGUUGUCGUCAGCUCGUGUCGUGAGAUGUUGGGUUAAGUCCCCUAACGAGCGCAACCCUUGUCUCUAUUUGCCAUCAUUAAGUUGGGAACUAUAGAGAGACUGCCGGUGCAAACCGGAGGAAGAUGGGGAUGACGUCAAAUCAUCAUGCCCCUUAUGCCCUGGGCCACACACGUGCUACAAUGGCCGGUACAGAGAGAAGCAAUCCCGUGAGGAGGAGCAAAUCUCACAAAGCCGGUCUCAGUUCGGAUUGGAGUCUGCAACUCGACUCCAUGAAGCUGGAAUUGCUAGUAAUCGCAGAUCAGCAUGCUGCGGUGAAUACGUUCCCGGGCCUUGUACACACCGCCCGUCACACCAUGAGAGUCGGCAAUACUCGAAGUCGUUAUCUUAACCCGCAAGGGAGGGAGGCGCCUAAGGUAGGGCUGAUGAUUGGGGUUAAGUCGUAACAAGGUAUCCCUACGGGAACGUGGGGAUG